GAGAACUGCCUAUUGAGCACACUAACAGGGGAAAGGUGGAAUAAGGGGGAACUGAUCUCAUGUUUUAAUAGAGGGGCAGAGUGAUUCUGCACUAUGUCUUUCAGUUUACAUACUUAUGGCAGGAAAGAAAGGUAUCCCAAAAUGGCUGAUAAUCUGGCACAUAACAGAAAUUCCUGUACUUCCAGGUUGUGCUUCCUGCCUUACAGAACAGGCCUGGGCUGCUGACCAUGCUCUAAGCCCCUUCCCUGAUUAAAAGAAAUGAAGUUCCUUUGGCUGGAAUUCAGCGGCUCCCUUUGUCAUCGUUGACCAUGAAUGGAUGAACUUCAUGUAGAUGAUGCCCAUUUCCCAUCUUUGAAUCAAACAUUAAUACCAUUUGACAGUAAUAAAUAACAUUUAUCACAAUAGGGAUCUACUAAUGAUUUUCCCACUAAGCUGGCUCAUCAGAACCUAUCAGCUGACAACUGCAUAAAUGAGAUUAGCAUAACAGCUGCCUAUGACAAAUGUAUCUAAAUCAUUUUAAUGCCAGCUAGCUCUUUGAUCUCCCUAUCACGUCGUUGCCAAAACUAAAUCCAUUUCUUCAGGAUACAUGUUGUUUAUUACAGAUACAUGUGUAUAUUCCACACCAUUAUGUACUCCAGAGAUUUCAGUAAUUAAAAAGAAUUAAAAAUACUGAUUGAUACUGCCACUAAUAAUGUAAACUUGCAACUCCGCACUUCAGAACAGCAUUCCACUGCUUACCUCACCCCCUCCCUCCUUCUCCAGACUGCAGAAUUCAGUGUUUAAUAGCUGCAUGUUUCACUGAUACAAAAUACAUGUUCUAAUGUAAACACAUGAAUUAAAUCCUCUUUCUGAGUAUUCCUUACAGCAGGAUCAUUUUCAUACAAUUUAAACUAAUUCCCAGUAAUAUAGAAGUUGGCUCCAGGCACAUAUUAAAGCAACGAGUCAUUGCACGUGUUUGUAUGAAUGCAAGACUAACAAAUAAAAUCUCACUGGUAGUGCACCAU